rnacentral:rRNA from 1 species
UACGUAGGGGGCAAGCGUUGUCCGGAAUUAUUGGGCGUAAAGCGCGCGCAGGCGGUUCUUUUAAGUCUGGUGUAUAAGUGCGGGGCUCAACCCCGUGAGGCACUGGAAACUGGGGAACUUGAGUGCAGAAGAGGAGAGCGGAAUUCCACGUGUAGCGGUGAAAUGCGUAGAGAUGUGGAGGAACACCAGUGGCGAAGGCGGCUCUCUGGGACUGGUAACUGACGCUGAGGCGCGAAAGCGUGGGGAGCAAACAGG